rnacentral:rRNA from 2 species
UAGGGGAGCCGGAGGGAAACCGAGUCUUAAUUGGGCGUUAAGUUGCAGGGUAUAGACCCGAAACCCGGUGAUCUAGCCAUGGGCAGGUUGAAGGUUGGGUAACACUAACUGGAGGACCGAACCGACUAAUGUUGAAAAAUUAGCGGAUGACCUGUGGCUGGGGGUGAAAGGCCAAUCAAACCGGGAGAUAGCUGGUUCUCCCCGAAAGCUAUUUAGGUAGCGCCUCGUGAAUUCAUCUCCGGGGGUAGAGCACUGUUUCGGCUAGGGGGCCAUCCCGGCUUACCAACCCGAUGCAAACUGCGAAUACCGGAGAAUGUUAUCACGGGAGACACACGGCGGGUGCUAACGUCCGUCGUGAAGAGGGAAACAACCCAGACCGCCAGCUAAGGUCCCAAAGUCAUGGUUAAGUGGGAAACGAUGUGGGAAGGCCCAGACAGCCAGGAUGUUGGCUUAGAAGCAGCCAUCAUUUAAAGAAAGCGUAAUAGCUCACUGGUCGAGUCGGCCUGCGCGGAAGAUGUAACGGGGCUAAACCAUGCACCGAAGCUGCGGCAGCGAACGUAUCACCCAAGACAACUUUACGGAGUUGACGAUUGACGGAGCGAAGCGACGUCAAAGCGUUCAUUAAAGUCGAGUUGGCUUAGGGAUACGUUCGUUGGGUAGGGGAGCGUUCUGUAAGCCUGUGAAGGUGUGUCGUGAGGCAUGCUGGAGGUAUCAGAAGUGCGAAUGCUGACAUAAGUAACGAUAAAGCGGGUGAAAAGCCCGCUCGCCGGAAGACCAAGGGUUCCUGUCCAACGUUAAUCGGGGCAGGGUGAGUCGACCCCUAAGGCGAGGCCGAAAGGCGUAGUCGAUGGGAAACGGGUUAAUAUUCCCGUACUUGGUGUUACUGCGAAGGGGGGACGGAGAAGGCUAUGUUGGCCGGGCGACGGUUGUCCCGGUUUAAGCGUGUAGGUGUGUGUUCCAGGUAAAUCCGGUUCACUUUAACACUGAGGCGUGACGACGAGGCACUACGGUGCUGAAGCAACAAAUGCCCUGCUUCCAGGAAAAGCCUCUAAGCAUCAGGUAACAUCAAAUCGUACCCCAAACCGACACAGGUGGUCAGGUAGAGAAUACCAAGGCGCUUGAGAGAACUCGGGUGAAGGAACUAGGCAAAAUGGUGCCGUAACUUCGGGAGAAGGCACGCUGACACGUAGGUGAAGUGAUUUACUCAUGGAGCUGAAGUCAGUCGAAGAUACCAGCUGGCUGCAACUGUUUAUUAAAAACACAGCACUGUGCAAACACGAAAGUGGACGUAUACGGUGUGACGCCUGCCCGGUGCCGGAAGGUUAAUUGAUGGGGUCAGCGCAAGCGAAGCUCCUGAUCGAAGCCCCGGUAAACGGCGGCCGUAACUAUAACGGUCCUAAGGUAGCGAAAUUCCUUGUCGGGUAAGUUCCGACCUGCACGAAUGGCGUAAUGAUGGCCAGGCUGUCUCCACCCGAGACUCAGUGAAAUUGAACUCGCUGUGAAGAUGCAGUGUACCCGCGGCAAGACGGAAAGACCCCGUGAACCUUUACUAUAGCUUGACACUGAACAUUGAGCCUUGAUGUGUAGGAUAGGUGGGAGGCUUUGAAGUGUGGACGCCAGUCUGCAUGGAGCCGACCUUGAAAUACCACCCUUUAAUGUUUGAUGUUCUAACGUGGACCCGUAAUCCGGGUUGCGGACAGUGUCUGGUGGGUAGUUUGACUGGGGCGGUCUCCUCCUAAAGAGUAACGGAGGAGCACGAAGGUUGGCUAAUCCUGGUCGGACAUCAGGAGGUUAGUGCAAUGGCAUAAGCCAGCUUGACUGCGAGCGUGACGGCGCGAGCAGGUGCGAAAGCAGGUCAUAGUGAUCCGGUGGUUCUGAAUGGAAGGGCCAUCGCUCAACGGAUAAAAGGUACUCCGGGGAUAACAGGCUGAUACCGCCCAAGAGUUCAUAUCGACGGCGGUGUUUGGCACCUCGAUGUCGGCUCAUCACAUCCUGGGGCUGAAGUAGGUCCCAAGGGUAUGGCUGUUCGCCAUUUAAAGUGGUACGCGAGCUGGGUUUAGAACGUCGUGAGACAGUUCGGUCCCUAUCUGCCGUGGGCGCUGGAGAACUGAGGGGGGCUGCUCCUAGUACGAGAGGACCGGAGUGGACGCAUCACUGGUGUUCGGGUUGUCAUGCCAAUGGCACUGCCCGGUAGCUAAAUGCGGAAGAGAUAAGUGCUGAAAGCAUCUAAGCACGAAACUUGCCCCGAGAUGAGUUCUCCCUGAGACUUAGAGUCUCCUGAAGGAACGUUGAAGACGACGACGUUGAUAGGCCGGGUGUGUAAGCGCAGCGAUGCGUUGAGCUAACCGGUACUAAUGAACCGUGAGGCUUAACCUUACAACGCCGAAG